AGGUUCGGCGGACGAGUCGGUCGUGCAUCCGCGAGGAUGACAGGGAACCCGGUGGAACUCCGGGACUGGCGCGCAGCGGUGAGGGUGACGGCGGUGGCGUGAGACCACUGGGGCUGCACAGGUCCUGGGAAGGUGCCACCUCCGGUCGACCCCGAGUCCGAAGACCUGCCGGCUCGGUCGUGCCCGC
rnacentral:ncRNA from 1 species